rnacentral:tRNA from 1 species
GGGCGAGUGGCGGAAUUGGCAGACGCGCAGGAUUCAGGUUCCUGUGAUCGCACGAUCGUGGGGGUUCAAGUCCCCCCUCGCCCA